AUAGGUCAAAUUUAUUAGCCGGGAUAAUGGGCGGCGGAUAUUAGCGCCCGAACCGCAGCCUCUCAAACCCGAAAUCUAACGAAGCUGCAAUUAGCAGACGCUCCCCGCUCCAGGCCCGGCCGCUUCCCAGCGCCGCACCCGGCGGCAGGCGCGCUGCGGGGGAAACGGCUUUUUGCCGCGGGGGGGUUUCGUUGUCUUCUAAUUUUUUUUUUUCUUUUUUCAUUUGAGCAAGCCCCAAACAAAAUGACUCUUCAGUCAAUGGAAUUGCAACCCAAGAACGGUCCUAUGAAAGCUGCGGAAGCCUAUCGGCCGCUCGCCCUCCGCGGGAGCAACGAAAGCGUCGCCUCUUGGGGUGCGAGCUCGGCGCUGUCCACCCGUGGAGCAAGCAGAGCACCGGAGCGUCCUCCACGCGACCGAGGACACCGACCCGCGUGGGGAGAAUUUGCCCCCGCCCCGGCUUCCAAUGAGGCGUCGCGGCCACUUUGGAGACGCUCCCUGGCCCCAGCCGGGAGGACUGAGCGUUGACUCUCAGAGCCUGGAUUUAAAUCACAAUAACACCGAGGGAAGAUGAAUGGCAGUGCUAUUGAAUGUGGCUAAAAUUGGAUACUUCAGCACAGGAUGAGCCCCAGGAGAGGCCUGGAUACUGACCACUGGUUCCGACAGUCUUCAAAGAUAAUGGUGUUCAUGAGGACAGACAUCAUCUAGAAGACAGAGUCACACGGUAAUCGGGACCCUUGGCUUAGAG